GAUGAACGCUGGCGGCGUGCCUAAUACAUGCAAGUCGAGCGAACGGACGAGAAGCUUUCUUCUCUGAUGUUAGCGGCGGACGUGUGAGUAACACGUGGAUAACCUACCUAUAAGACUGGGAUAACUUCGGGAAACCGUAGCUAAUACCGGAUAAUAUUUUGAACCGCAUUGUUCAAAAGUGAAAGACGGUCUUUCUGUCACUUAUAGAUGGAUCCGCGCUGCAUUAGCUAGUUGGUAAGGUAACGGCUUACCAAGGCAACGAUGCAUAGCCGACCUGAGAGGGUGAUCGGCCACACUGGAACGGAGACACGGAACAGAGUACUACGGGAGGCAGCAGUAGGGAAUCUUCCGCAAGGGGCGAAAGCCUGACGGAGCAACGCCGCGUGAGAGAUGAAGGUCUUCGGAUCGUAAAACUCUGUUAUUAGGGAAGAACAUAUGUGUAAGUAAAUGUGGACAUCUUGACGGUAACUAAUCAGAAAGCCACGGCUAACUACGUG
rnacentral:rRNA from 1 species